rnacentral:piRNA from 1 species
UGAUUGCCUGACAGCUUAUUA